CGGACCCUGCCGGAUCAGGCUCCAGCCAAUCAGAAAAUUCCACUGACAUGACACCGCAGUUGUCAGUUGAAGAGUUUGUACUAAGCGUGCCGGAAGGGAUGGGGAAAUCCCCUGAUUCUGAUACAGCCACCAUUCAAGAACAUACGGAAUUCCCUAAGUUUUGAGCUGACACCCCCACCUAGGGUAUUUCUGCUGAUGGUAGCCAGGGGAACACCAUCAUCUUUGCUAAUACGUAAAUCCAUUUGAGUGGGUGCUUCGCCUGCUCUCCGAAGCUCCGACACCCGCACCCAGGGCAGUGAAAGGAGUCACGUCAUGUGGUGCCGCCUAUAGUAACUGCACAAUCCUUCAUCCGAUAUCCCCCCUGCCUCGAGUACUCCUCAGGCUCUGUGUUUUGAUGCUGCCUAUCUACGUUUAAUGGAAAUGUGGAGACACAGAUUACAUUAAAGAAAGUUUUGGCUGGCUCAAUUA